rnacentral:rRNA from 1 species
UAACAGGAUUAGAUACCCUGGUAGUUCACGCCGUAAACGAUGAAUACUAGGUGUGGGAGUUGUCAUGACUUCCGUGCCGCCGCUAACGCAUUAAGUAUUCCGCCUGGGGAGUACGGUCGCAAGAUUAAAACUCAAAGGAAUUGACGGGGACCCGCACAAGCGGUGGAUGAUGUGGAUUAAUUCGAUGCAACGCGAAAAACCUUACCUACCCUUGACAUGCCACUAACGAAGCAGAGAUGCAUUAGGUGCUCGAAAGAGAAAGUGGACACAGGUGCUGCAUGGCUGUCGCCAGCUCGUGUCGUGAGAUGUUGGGUUAAGUCCCGCAACGAGCGCAACCCUUGUCUCUAGUUGCUACGAAAGGGCACUCUAGAGAGACUGCCGGUGACAAACCGGAGGAAGGUGGGGAUGACGUCAAGUCCUCAUGGCCCUUAUGGGUAGGGCUUCACACGUCAUACAAUGGUGCAUACAGAGGGUUGCCAAGCCGCGAGGUGGAGCCAAUCCCAGAAAAUGCAUCGUAGUCCGGAUCGUAGUCUGCAACUCGACUACGUGAAGCUGGAAUCGCUAGUAAUCGCGGAUCAGCAUGCCGCGGUGAAUACGCUCCCGGGUCUUGUACACACCGCCCGUCACACCAUGGGAGUGGGUUUUGCCAGAAGUAGUUAGCCUAACCGCAAGGGGGGCGAUUACCACGGCAGGGUUCAUGACUGGGGUGAAGUCGUAACAAGGUAACCA